rnacentral:rRNA from 1 species
AGGUAAGCUACUAAGAGCGAAUGGUGGAUGCCUUGACUGGUAAAGGCGAUGAAGGACGUACUAGACUGCGAUAAGCUACGGGGAGCUGUCAAGAAGCUUUGAUCCGUAGAUUUCCGAAUGGGGCAACCCAAUGUAUAGAGAUAUACAUUACCUAUAUAGGAGCGAACGAGGGGAAUUGAAACAUCUUAGUACCCUCAGGAAAAGAAAUCAAUAGAGAUUGCGUCAGUAGCGGCGAGCGAAAGCGCAAGAGGGCAAACCCAGUGCUUGCACUGGGGGUUGUAGGACUGCAAUGUGCAAGAGCUGAGUUUAGCAGAACAUUCUGGAAAGUAUAGCCAUAGAGGGUGAUAGUCCCGUAUGCGAAAAACAAAGCUUAGCUAGCAGUAUCCUGAGUAGGGCGGGACACGAGGAAUCCUGUCUGAAUCCGGGUCGACCACGAUCCAACCCUAAAUACUAAUACCAGAUCGAUAGUGCACAAGUACCGUGAGGGAAAGGUGAAAAGAACUGAGGUGAUCAGAGUGAAAUAGAACCUGAAACCAUUUGCUUACAAUCAUUCAGAGCACUAUGUAGCAAUACAGUGUGAUGGACUGCCUUUUGCAUAAUGAGCCUGCGAGUUGUGGUGUCUGGCAAGGUUAAGCAAACGCGAAGCCGUAGCGAAAGCGAGUCUGAAUAGGGCGCUUAGUCAGAUGCUGCAGACCCGAAACGAAGUGAUCUAUCCAUGAGCAAGUUGAAGCUAGUGUAAGAACUAGUGGAGGACUGAACCCAUAGGCGUUGAAAAGCCCCGGGAUGACUUGUGGAUAGGGGUGAAAGGCCAAUCAAACUUCGUGAUAGCUGGUUCUCUCCGAAAUAUAUUUAGGUAUAGCGUUGUGUCGUAAUAUAAGGGGGUAGAGCACUGAAUGGGCUAGGGCAUACACCAAUGUACCAAACCCUAUCAAACUCCGAAUACCUUAUAUGUAAUCACAGCAGUCAGGCGGCGAGUGAUAAAAUCCGUCGUCAAGAGGGAAACAACCCAGACUACCAGCUAAGGUCCCUAAAUCUUACUUAAGUGGAAAACGAUGUGAAGUUACUUAAACAACCAGGAGGUUGGCUUAGAAGCAGCCAUCCUUUAAAGAAAGCGUAAUAGCUCACUGGUCUAGUGAUUUUGCGCGGAAAAUAUAACGGGGCUAAAGUAAGUACCGAAGCUGUAGACUUGCACACAACUUAGAUUAUUUAAGUUUAGAAUAUGAGAAACUAAGUUAUAUGUUUAGUUAUAUUUUUACUGAUUUUUAUAGAGUAAAGAUAGAAAUAAAACUUAGUAAAAUCAGUAAAAAUAUUCUUAGGCUAAAGUUAAGUAGUUUAAGUUGUGUGCAAGUGGUAGGAGAGCGUUCUAUUUGCGUCGAAGGUAUACCGGUAAGGAGUGCUGGAGCGAAUAGAAGUGAGCAUGCAGGCAUGAGUAGCGAUAAUUAAUGUGAGAAUCAUUAACGCCGUAAACCCAAGGUUUCCUACGCGAUGCUCGUCAUCGUAGGGUUAGUCGGGUCCUAAGUCGAGUCCGAAAGGGGUAGACGAUGGCAAAUUGGUUAAUAUUCCAAUACCAACAUUAGUGUGCGAUGGAAGGACGCUUAGGGCUAAGGGGGCUAGCGGAUGGAAGUGCUAGUCUAAGGUUGUAGGAGGUUAUACAGGCAAAUCCGUAUAACAAUACUCCGAGAACUGAAAGGCUUUUUGAAGUCUUCGGAUGGAUAGAAGAACCCCUGAUGCCGUCGAGCCAAGAAAAGUUUCUAAGUUUAGCUAAUGUUGCCCGUACCGUAAACCGACACAGGUGGGUGGGAUGAGUAUUCUAAGGCGCGUGGAAGAACUCUCUUUAAGGAACUCUGCAAAAUAGCACCGUAUCUUCGGUAUAAGGUGUGGUUAGCUUCGUACUAGGAUUUACUCCGAAAGCGAAGAAACUUACAACAAAGAGUCCCUCCCGACUGUUUACCAAAAACACAGCACUCUGCUAACUCGUAAGAGGAUGUAUAGGGUGUGACGCCUGCCCGGUGCUCGAAGGUUAAUUGAUGGGGUUAGCAUUAGCGAAGCUCUUGAUCGAAGCCCGAGUAAACGGCGGCCGUAACUAUAACGGUCCUAAGGUAGCGAAAUUCCUUGUCGGUUAAAUACCGACCUGCAUGAAUGGCGUAACGAGAUGGGAGCUGUCUCAAAGAGGGAUCCAGUGAAAUUGUAGUGGAGGUGAAAAUUCCUCCUACCCGCGGCAAGACGGAAAGACCCCGUGGACCUUUACUACAGCUUGACACUGCUACUUGGAUAAGAAUGUGCAGGAUAGGUGGGAGGCUUUGAGUAUAUGACGCCAGUUGUAUAUGAGCCAUUGUUGAGAUACCACUCUUUCUUAUUUGGGUAGCUAACCAGCUUGAGUUAUCCUCAAGUGGGACAAUGUCUGGUGGGUAGUUUGACUGGGGCGGUCGCCUCCCAAAUAAUAACGGAGGCUUACAAAGGUUGGCUCAUAGCGGUUGGAAAUCGCUAGUAGAGUAUAAAGGUAUAAGCCAGCUUAACUGCAAGACAUACAAGUCAAGCAGAGACGAAAGUCGGUCUUAGUGAUCCGGUGGUUCUGUGUGGAAGGGCCAUCGCUCAAAGGAUAAAAGGUACCCCGGGGAUAACAGGCUGAUCUCCCCCAAGAGCUCACAUCGACGGGGAGGUUUGGCACCUCGAUGUCGGCUCAUCGCAUCCUGGGGCUGGAGCAGGUCCCAAGGGUAUGGCUGUUCGCCAUUUAAAGCGGUACGCGAGCUGGGUUCAGAACGUCGUGAGACAGUUCGGUCCCUAUCUGCCGUGGGCGUAAGAAGAUUGAAGAGAUUUGACCCUAGUACGAGAGGACCGGGUUGAACAAACCACUGGUGUAGCUGUUGUUCUGCCAAGAGCAUCGCAGCGUAGCUAAGUUUGGAAAGGAUAAACGCUGAAAGCAUCUAAGCGUGAAGCCAACUCUAAGAUGAAUCUUCUCUAAGCUCUCUAGAAGACUACUAGUUUGAUAGGCUGGGUGUGUAAUGGAUGAAAGUCCUUUAGCUGACCAGUACUAAUAGAGCGUUUGGCUUAUCUUU